GAUGAACGCUGGCGGCGUGCCUAAUACAUGCAAGUCGAGCGAACAGACGAGGAGCUUGCUCCUCUGACGUUAGCGGCGGACGGGUGCGUAACACGUGGAUAACCUACCUAUAAGACUGGGAUAACUUCGGGAAACCGGAGCUAAUACCGGAUAACAUGUUGAACCGCAUGGUUCAACAGUGAAAGACGGUUUUGCUGUCACUUAUAGAUGGAUCCGCGCCGCAUUAGCUAGUUGGUAAGGUAACGGCUUACCAAGGCAACGAUGCGUAGCCGACCUGAGAGGGUGAUCGGCCACACUGGAACUGAGACACGGUCCAGACUCCUACGGGAGGCAGCAGUAGGGAAUCUUCCGCAAUGGGCGAAAGCCUGACGGAGCAACGCCGCGUGAGUGAAGAAGGUCUUCGGAUCGUAAAACUCUGUUAUUAGGGAAGAACAAAUGUGUAAGUAACUAUGCACGUCUUGACGGUACCUAAUCAGAAAGCCACGGCUAACUACGUG
rnacentral:rRNA from 1 species